rnacentral:rRNA from 1 species
UACGAAGGGGGCGAGCGUUGUUCGGAUUUACUGGGCGUAAAGGGCGCGCAGGCGGCCAGAUUUGUCAGGCGUGAAAGCCCCGGGCUUAACCUGGGAGGUGCGCUUGGGACGGUUUGGCUAGAGAUCGGGAGAGGAGCGUGGAAUUCCCAGUGUAGAGGUGAAAUUCGUAGAUAUUGGGAAGAACACCGGUGGCGAAGGCGGCGCUCUGGACCGAGACUGACGCUGAGGCGCGAAAGCGUGGGGAGCAAACAGGAUUAGAUACCCUGGUAGUCCACGCGGUAAACGAUGUGUGCUAGACGUUGGGGAGCCUAGCUCUUCGGUGUCGCAGCUAACGCGAUAAGCACACCGCCUGGGGAGUACGGCCGCAAGGUUAAA